AUGCAUCGGCUGACCUGCGGCUGCAAGUUCGCCGACCCCGACACGGUCGUCCCCUCCGCGGCGGCGGCGUCGCAUCGCGUGCGGCCGGACACCAUGAGCUGCGGCAGCGACGGGUGCAGGGACGGCGGCAGCGGCGGCGGCAGCGAGGGGUUCGGGCGGUCGCGGCCGAGCAAGGUCGCGGCCGACGACUCGGUGGAGCCCGCGCGGUGCUCGGACGCCACCUCGCCGCCGGGGUCCUGGAUUGACAGGAAGCUGCUGGUCGAUCCCAAGAUGCUGUUCGUCGGAUCCAAGAUUGGGGAGGGCGCCCACGGGAAGGUCUACAAGGGGAAGUAUGGUGAUCAGAUUGUAGCCAUAAAAGUUCUCAACAGUGGCAGUACCCCCGAAGAAAAAGUAACACUUGAAGAUCGCUUCAUCCGAGAAGUAAAUAUGAUGUGUAAAGUGAAACAUGAUAAUCUUGUCAAGUUCAUUGGAGCCUGCAAGGAACCAUUGAUGGUGAUUGUGAGUGAGCUGCUACCAGGGAUGUCGCUGAAAAAUUACUUGAACAGCAUCCGGCCCAGCCAACUAGAUAUCCAUACUGCAUUAGGCUAUGCACUCAACAUAGCUCGUGCAAUGGAAUGUUUACAUGCCAAUGGAAUAAUACACAGAGACCUGAAACCUGAUAAUUUGUUGCUUACUGCAAACCGUAAGAAGCUGAAGCUUACUGAUUUUGGACUUGCACGAGAGGAAACUGUGACUGAAAUGAUGACGGCUGAAACUGGGACAUACCGAUGGAUGGCCCCAGAGUUAUACAGCACUGUCACACUUCAACGUGGCGAAAAAAAGCACUACACAAAUAAGGUGGAUGUUUACAGCUUUGGCAUCGUCCUCUGGGAGUUGCUGACCAAUAAAAUGCCAUUCGAAGGCAUGUCGAAUCUACAAGCUGCAUAUGCUGCUGCUUUUAAACAAGUACGCCCAGCUUUCCCUGAGGACACCCCCCAGGAGCUCGCGUCCAUCGUGCAGUCAUGCUGGGUCGAGGACCCCGCGAUGCGUCCCAGCUUCAGCCAGAUCAUCCGCAUGCUGGACGCCUUCCUCCUGACGAUCCCUCCACCACCCCCUUCGGAGGCAGACGAGGACACGGCGGAGUCGGAAGACACAGCGUCGUCGCUGAGCAGCAAGAGCUCCUCGGUCUCCUCCAUCGUUUCCCGCGCGACAAGCAAGCUCUCGGUCGUCCGCCAUCUGUUUGCCUCGAAGAAGGGAGGCAGCAAUGGGAAGGCAUGA
rnacentral:rRNA from 1 species